GACUAAUUAGCUCAGCAGGUAGAGCACAUCCCUUUUAAGGAUGGGGUCCUGGGUUCGAGCCCCAGAUUAGUCA
rfam:Bacterium F083 scaffold_8, whole genome shotgun sequence.